rnacentral:tRNA from 2 species
GGAGAGGUGGCAGAGCGGUCGAUUGCGACGGUCUUGAAAACCGUUGACCGAAAGGUCCGUGGGUUCGAAUCCCACCCUCUCCGCCA